UAUAACAGGCCUAGACAUGAUUUCAUCGAACGAUCAUACAUAAUCUAGGUGGGAGGAGUUAACGACUAGUCGCAUCCCUCUAUAUUACAUUAUAGGGCAUUUCAUGCCUACUAGGUGUAGACAUGAUUCUAUCAAAACAUCAUGCACUUAGAAAAGACAAGAAGGAAUUUAUACAUCAUGAAAGGAGUAAAGGAAAGCAAUAAAGUGACAUAAAAUUAGGCUUUGGCAUGU